GCGAGUCGAAUGUAGCAAUACAUGGCGUACUGCUCAGUAACACGUGGAUAACCUACCCUUGAGACGGGGAUAAACCCGGGAAACUGGGUAUAAUACCCGAUAGAUCUCGGACGCUGGAAUGCAUCGAGAUCGAAAGCUCCGGCGCUCAAGGAUGGAUCUGCGGCCUAUCAGGUAGUAGUGGGUGUAGCGUACCUACUAGCCUACGACGGGUACGGGUUGUGAGAGCAAGAGCCCGGAGAUGGAUUCUGAGACACGAAUCCAGGCCCUACGGGGUGCAGCAGGCGCGAAAACUUUACAAUGCUGGAAACAGCGAUAAGGGGACCUCGAGUGCCAGGUUACAAAUCUGGCUGUCGUGAUGCCUAAAACGCAUUGCAUAGCAAGGGCCGGGCAAGACCGGUGCCAGCCGCCGCGGUAACACCGGCGGCUCGAGUGGUAACCGUUAUUAUUGGGUCUAAAGGGUCUGUAGCCGGCCGGAUAAGUCUCCUGGGAAAUCUGGCAGCUUAACUGUCAGGCUUUCAGGAGAUACUGUCUGGCUCGAGGCCGGGAGAGGUGAGAGGUACUUCAGGGGUAGGGGUGAAAUCUUGUAAUCCUUGAAGGACCACCAGUGGCGAAGGCGUCUCACCAGAACGGACCUGACGGCAAGGGACGAAAGCUAGGGGCACGAACCGGAUUAGAUACCCGGGUAGUCCUAGCCGUAAACGAUACUCGCUAGGUGUCGGCCACGGUGCGACCGUUGUCGGUGCCGUAGGGAAGCCGUGAAGCGAGCCACCUGGGAAGUACGGCCGCAAGGCUGAAACUUAAAGGAAUUGGCGGGGGAGCACCACAACGGGUGGAGC
rnacentral:rRNA from 1 species